rnacentral:rRNA from 1 species
UGGGGGAAUUUUGGACAAUGGGCGCAAGCCUGAUCCAGCAAUGCCGCGUGCAGGAUGAAGGCCUUCGGGUUGUAAACUGCUUUUGUACGGAACGAAAAGGCUCUGGUUAAUACCUGGAGCAUAUGACGGUACCGUAAGAAUAAGCACCGGCUAACUACGUGCCAGCAGCCGCGGUAAUACGUAGGGUGCGAGCGUUAAUCGGAAUUACUGGGCGUAAAGCGUGCGCAGGCGGUUUUGUAAGACAGAGGUGAAAUCCCCCGGGCUCAACCUGGGAACUGCCUUUGUGACUGCAAGGCUGGAGUGCGGCAGAGGGGGGAUGGAAUUCCGCGUGUAGCAGUGAAAUGCGUAGAUAUGCGGAGGAACACCGAUGGCGAAGGCAAUCCCCCUGGGCCUGCACUGACGCUCAUGCACGAAAGCGUGGGGGAGCAAACAGGAUUAGAUACCCCUGGUAGUCCACGCCCUAAACGAAUGUCAACUGGCUUGUUGGGGUCUUAAUUGACUCAGUAACGAAGCUAACGCGUGAAGUUGACCGCCUGGGGGAGUACGGCCGCAAGGUUGAAACUUAAAUGAAUUGACGGGGUCAUAGCUGUUUCCU